UUCCAGAUACUCAGAGCAGAAAAAAUAAAUCCUUUUAUUUGUUUAUCUAUGAGGAUGUUUCUGCUACUGAAAAUUGUUGUUUGUCUAUUUUAAUGGAGAGGAUUUUCCAUAGAGCCAAGCACACUCUAUUAUAUGGCAAUUUUGAAUCUUAGAGAGAAGGCAAGUGAGAGAGGGAGAAAUGUAUGUGAGUUGAAAAAUAUAUUCAGUGUACCUAUUGUUUAUAUAAUACAAACUUUAUAAAGUUAAGAUUGACAGUUUUAAUCAUGGUGGCUAUUUCCAGUUUUUUAUUCUUCAAACAGCCUAAAUGUGUACCAAUGAUGGAAUAAUUAAAUAAAUUAAUGUGAUUUAUAUUCUGAAUAUUAUGCUGCAAUCAAAAUUGUGGGGCAGGGCUUCCCUCGUGGCGCAGUGGUUGAGAGUCCGCCUGCAGAUGCAGGGGACACAGGUUCGUACCCCGGUCCGGGAAGAUCCCACAUGCCAUGGAGCGGCUGGGCCCGUGAGCCAUGGCCGCUGAGCCUGGGCACCCGGAGCCUGUGCUCCGCAACGGGAGAGGCCACAAUAGUGAGAGGCCCGCGUACCGCAAAAAAAAAAAAAAAAAAAAUUGUGGGGCAGAUCUCUAUGUACUUAUAUGGAAAGGGCUCUAUCAUUAUGUUAAAAAAUAAGUCAUGGAACAAGAUGUAUAUUUUGCUCUCAUUUAUGAGAAUUGUGCAUGCAUGCACUUGCACACCUACACAUGCACACUUGAAAAUGUAUACUGGAAAGAUAGUUAUAAAACUGUUAAUACUUACAGCUGGGAAAUGUGGGGAUGGAGAAUUGGGGGCAAAGAUAAAAGAGGAUUUCUAAUUUUAUCAUCUAUGUAUUUAUUCUCUCUUCAUAUUUCUACAUAUAUUCAUUUAAUGCUUCCUUUAUUAAAAUCAAACAGGUCAAUGACACAAAAGGAAAUACACUUCUUAUAUAGGUUGUGUUUUCCUUCACUUCCAUAUGCUCCUAUAGUUGUAGAGACGUUGCCCUUUGAAAAGCAUAUAUGGGUGUCACACGCAUAAGUACCUUUAAGGAACAAGAAGGUAUCAGCAGUGAAUAAAGAGUGCUGAGCUGAGACUCUUUGAAGUGGACAGGACUCCUGAAGUGGACAGGAGAGCGUGUUCUCUAUCUAAAGUGGGUAAGUGUUCCUUAGCUGCAGGCUGUUGCUGACAUGGCGCCACUGUGACCGAGCAUUGUGAAUCUUUAUACAUAUUUCUUGAUGCACAUUUGCCAGUCUGUAGGAUAAAUUCCUAGAAGUUGUACUGCUGGGUCAAAAUAAAUGCACAUUGUGGAAUCUGAUUGAUAACAGCUAAACAGAAGUCAAUCGUUAUUACUGUUUUAACAUUACUAAAUGCUAAAGGCUUUCCUCUGAUAUCUGGGUAAAGUGUAGAUCUGGUUAGAUCUUGGUGAGGGCUCCCUAAAUAUAAUGUGGCAUUUUUAUGUAAUAAGACAAUUGGCUUUGGUUAUGUUCUCCCUAAGUGCAAAUAUAAACUGUUUAGUGUCAAAAAAUAAAGAAGAAUGGCACCCGCUGCUCCCUUCAUGUCCCCCGCACACAUCAAAGGGAGUAGAGCUGUCUGUGAAAAGUAGAUCAGACAUCUUUCACUUAUGAUGAAGACAACAGUAGAGAAGACAAAGCGGAUCUUCAUAGCAACAAAUCAGAUGCCUCGAGGAGAGCCAAGUGGGACAGAAACGAGGCCCUGUGCCAAAAAUCUGAAGAGGCAGGAAGUGCCUUGGGAUGUGCUCCAGCUGCAGCGGAAAUGUGAGGAGCCUCAAAUGGUUAAAAGCAAAUAGUCUGCCAAGAAGAGACUUGUGUAUUGCAGGAUGUGUCGCUACAAAGAAUUUCUCCAGCUCUUUGUUGUUAAGUUAUUUAAUACUGUGCAUAUCAAUUUUCUUUUUACUGCAUGAGAUGGGGGAAAGGCUGUGGUAGACAGAUACUGAUUUCACCUAUUCUGCUGAUGCUGCAUCAUCUCAUCUUGCCUGUAACAUCCCCAUGAAAACACCAUUGAAGGGUCAAUGAGCUGUAAAAUGAUUACUUUUAUCCUCCAAAAUAAUAUUUCACUAAUGUCUAUAGUUAGAAAUUCAUACAGUAUUUCAAGGGCAUAGAUUUAUUAUGAGACAUAAUCUUUGCACUUAGGCAAGGCCUAUACUUUUAUUAAAGACAAAUUUCAUCCAAAGGGCAAAUAUAAACAGAGAUUAAUGGAUUCGUCAGUUUAAAAUUUAUACACUGAGGAAAGGGGCAAAUAACAUUACUCCCACUGAAGAUUCUAUAUUCGAUAAAGUGAGCAUCGGUAUAUUGUGACCUUAACUGAAAAUGAUCAGUGGUGAAAUCUAGAAUAGUCAUAACAAUAGCUUUUAUUUGUGAAGUAUCUGCAAUUCAAAAAGCACUUUCACAAACCCUUACUUGCAAUUUAUGCCGAUUAGCAACCUUGUGAGUUUUCCAAAAUAGGUGUUAAAUUUGAUUCAUCAAUGUUACCUCAAGUCCCUUUGUAAAAAGGUCAGAGUAUAAAAUUCAAUAAGCAAUUCUGAGAUUAGAAAACUGAGAGGUUAAGUAUAUUACCCAAGGUCAUACGAGUUCGUAAUAGAGCAAGGCUUAAACUUCUGCAGAGCUCAAGGGCAGAACUACUGACGUCCUACUUGCUUUUAUCUUCUGUCUUCAGAGAGUGUGUUCUUUAUUGUGAGCGUUUUCUCCUGCUCACUCUGUCAAUAAUGGGUAUCAUGAGUUCAGAGCCACUUUUUACAAUAAGAAAUGUUUCCUCAUACAGAACUACUUACUAUACUCAGUGUCAUUUGCCAUUAGCUGUGCUGUUUGGCUCCAUUGAAGGAAAAUUAUUUUCAAGUUGAAAAGGUAAAAUAUAUAUGAAAAGGUACAAUAGAGCCCAAAUACAGGUGAAGAGAGAAAAUAAAAGAAUAGCUAUUGGCUUUUAAUGAGCUGAUACUUGUUAAGGCCAGGGAAAUUUGGUGUGGUGAAAAGAGGAUAGGUUGUUUAUCCAGCUUGGGUUUGAAAUCUGGCUUUUCCAUUUCUUGCUGUGUGAAAUAUGAUCAAGAUAGUUCUUAGCUACUUUGAGCCUCAGUAUCUUCAAUGAUAAAGUGGGAGUGGUAAUAGCUAUGUCAUGGGAUAUUUCUUAAGACCUAAAAUAAUGCAUGUAAAGUGAUUGUACUUCAUGGGUAUUUCAUAUAUUAUAGCUAUAUAACUAAUAUAGUAUGAUAUCAACUUGCUGAAUUGACUUAGAUACCAUGUGAUUUGCAGAAUACAUUCUAAUUAAUAAAUGACUUAUCAGAACUUUGGGGGAAAUAAGUGAGUAUUAAGGCUUAGUAUUCACUAAAAUCAAAUCUUAAUGUAUUAAUCUCACUUCCUUUAUAAAGGGUGAUACUAGAUCAGGGAUCAGCCAUGUAAAGCCUACAGGCCAAACCUGGCCUGCAGCCCGUUGUUGUAUGCCCUGAGAACCAAGGUUUUUACAUUUUUAAAUGGUUGAAAGAAAAUCGAAAAAGUAUAUUUCAUACCCUGUGAAAAUUAUAUGAAAUUCAAAUUUCAAUGUCCAUAAAUAAAAGUUAAUUAAAAUAGGGUUACAUUUAUUUAUUUGCAUUAUGUCUAAGGUAGCUUUCCCAUCUGGUGAUAGGGUUGACUAGUUGCAAUAGAGAUCACAUGACCUGCAAAGCCUGAAAUAUUUACUAUCAGGCUCUUCACAGAAAAUGUCUAGACCCCUGCACCAGAAUAUUAGGUCAGAGAAAUACCCCAGACACAGUAUAACUGUACUUCAGAAAAUGUUUAACAAAGCUACCUGAGAAAGGCAGCUAACACUUAAUAAAUAAACAUAAGUACUUUCCCUCUAUAUUCUGGACAUAUCCCUGGGAGGUAGCUGCCUGUUAUGAUUAUAUUUCCCAUGUUCCUUUCUUCUUGGUGUGGCCAUGUGACAAGUUUUUGCCAAUGAAAUGUGACUGAAAAUAACAUGUACCCUUUCCAGGAGAGAGUUUUUAGGAAGCAGGAGUUCUUUCUCUUAUGCAUUUUACCCAGCUGACCCUAGGGGAUGGCAGAGCCACAAAAUGUAAGGAGCCUGGGUCCCUUGAUUGGAUGUGGAAUGGAGUCACCCGCCUACCAGAAAUACCGGUUUUAGAUUUUUUUGAGUAAGAAAAAAGAAGUUCUCUUGUAUUAUCACUGAAAUUUGGGGAGUUUGUUUUAUUAGUGUUUCUCUAACUCACUCUUAAGGUGUCCUUUUGAAAAAGAUAAAGCAGUGUUGUAUGAAUAACAUACUUAAAUGGAUUUAGAGAUGAACAACUGGGCUCAAACAGGAUUAAUCAAUUGAGGCCAUCAUGGGUGGAAGAGGCAUAGUACCACAGAGGUCUUCUGUCCUUGAUCUCAUCCUAGUAAUUAGUUUUAUGAGACAAAACUAGCAAUUUUAAAUGUUUUAAGGCUGCCUUUAGAAGAGUUCUUUUGGAUUUUUUUUUUUUUUUUCCUGAAAAGUUCCAGUGGAUAGGGUGAUUGGGACAAAUAAUAGUGAGACAGAUUUUAGCUCAGCAUAAAGAAGAAUUAAAAAUAAAAUAGAGAUAGCUGCCCAAACAGUUACCUUGCAAUGUACUGUGCUCUCUACAAAGUGUUGAAGUAACUGAUAAAGAGUCAUCACUAAAUCUGGCAAAGAAAAUUCUGUAAUAAUACAGGAAUUUAAUUACUCUAUAAGAUUAAUAAUUACUCUAAUUCCUCCUAACUUUCAAUUCUUUAAUUUCAUCAUUAAAUGUUUUCUUGUUUUAAUCAUGCACUUACCAUUUAGUUUCAAGAAAUUUAAAGUCAAGGAGAUGAAAAUGCAAUUCGGCCACUUCGGUUUUCCAUAAAUUGACUAUAUGCACAGGUUUUAAAUAUACAAUUUAAGGACUCUUGAUUGUUAUUCAUUUUGUCGUUCAGUAGAUAAAGUACACUUAGGAAUAGGAAGAUAAGUAGGAAGAUUGAUGUAUUUGUUAGGAUGUAUCCAUCUGCAAGUAAGAUAAUAUCAACUAACAGGGGCUUCAAUAAUAUAAGUAUUUAAUCAUUUCACAUAAAGGAAGUUUAUACCUAUCUGAGACCAUGUGAACUAAGAGAUCAAAGUCACCAUAAUAUGCAUUAAGAUAUAUUAGUAAUUAGGUAAUAAAACAUAUUAACAUCAUGUACCUUCUGAUACACUGAGAAGGGCUCAUCACUUCUUUGUUUUUCUGGCCCAAAAUGUAUAGUCUAAUCAUAUGAAAACAUCAGAUAAACCCAAAUUGUGGGACAUUCUACAAGUUAACUAGUAGUCUUCCAAAGUGUGAAGGUUAUAAAAAACAAGGCAAGACUGAGAAGUUGCCACAGACUGAAAGAAGCUAAGAGACAUAAUAACUAAAUUCAGUGUGACAACUUGCAAUGGAUCCUGAAACAGAAAAAACGAACAAUUGCAGAAAAACUGGAAAAACCCAGAUAAAAGCUACAGUAUAGUUAAUAGUAUUAUACCAAUAUUAAUUCUUAGUUUGGGUAACUUUAUUAUGGGUAUUCAAGAUGUUUACAUGGGGGGAGCUGGGUGAAAGUUAUAUGGGAACUCUUUGCAAUUUUUGUAACUUUUCUCUAAGUCUAAAAUUAUUUCAAAAGAAAAAAUUGCUGGAGUUGGUAGUUCCAGAUGCAGUGUGGUAACUCAAGAACAUCAUCGGGUACUUAAGAUUUGUUUCUACUUUUCUAUCUGUGAUCUUCUGUGUUCCCUUCUUUUCUCUAGGCUUAUCUGAAUGCUAGAUAUUCUCCCCUGCACCUCAGGUCAACAUAGUUCCUUCCUGUUCUGUUCCUGGGCAAGAUGCCUUCUAUGGAUGAUACCAACUGGACUUCCCUGCCCUCUGGCUUCUGGUUGACUAAUGCCAGCAGCUGAUCUAAGUACAAGAAGACUGGGAGGUCAGAGUUUUUAUUCCCCUGGGUCUUUCCAUUUUAGGCUAAGGUUUGUAAGACCUGAGUUCCUCCACCUGUGUUCCUGAUGACAGCUCCCGUAGGGCACCUCUCCCCUAAGGCUAUAGUUACAACCUUCUACAUGUUCUGAUAAACACUCCCUCCCCUUGCAUCUUCAAGCCCACUAAUGAUAAUGGCUACCCUCCCCUUCUCUUUCGCAUACAUAUAUAGUGUGACCUCCACAAUAGCCAGAGAGAUCUUUGCAAAUGUAACAGAUCAUGAACUCUCCCACUAAGAACUCUCCCAGUUCAGUCAGAGGAAAAACCCUGGUGUCCACAAUGGCCUAUACUGUCCUAUGAGAUCUUCUUUCCACUUCUUUCCUCUCCUAACUUCUCUCUUCCUUAGGCACUGUCAGCCACACUGGGUUCCCUGCUGCUGCUGAAACAUACCAAGUGUGCUCUCCUCUCAGGGUCUUUGUUUUUCUUUCCUCUAUCUGGAACUUUCUUCCACCAGAUACCUUCCUGACAUGUUUCCUCACUUCCUUCCUUCCUCACUUCCUUCCUAGUAUCCUUCAGCUCAAAUGCCAGCCUUCCUUAAUCACCCUAAAUAAAACAAAAUAAAAUUCCUUCCUUAUCAUACCAUCAGCACUCCUUAUUCCAUUUUUUUCUUUAUUCUUUUUCCAUAGAACUUACUACUUAGGAAUAUAUGUGUUUUUCUCUACAUAUACUGCAUAUGCCUAUAUACAUGUGUGUAUAUACACACAUACAUCCUGUUUCUCUCAUUAGAAUAUGUCCUCUUUAAUGCCAUAGAUUUUAUUCAGUAUUAUAUCCCCAGUGCCUAGAAUGGUGCCUGGUACAUAGGAGGUAUUCCAUAAGUGUUUCUGAAAUAAAUGAAUGUAUGAAUAUGAAUUGAAUGUAAAUCUGGACAAAUGCUUUUUAAAGGUUAUUUUCAGGCUUCUCUGGUGGUUCAGUGGUUAAGAAUCCGCCUACCAAUUCAGGGGACAUGGGUUAGAGCCCUGCUCCCAGAAGAUCCCACAUGCCGCCGAGCAAGUGAGCUCGUGUGCCACAACUACUGAGCCUGCACUCUAGUCUGUGAGCCACAACUGCUGAGCCCGUGUGCCACAACUACUGAGGCCUGUGCACCCUGGAGCCCGUGCUCCGCAACAAAAGCCACCACAACGAGAGAGCUCUGGACUGCAACAAAGAGUAGCCACAACUAGAGAAAGCCCGCGCGCAGCAACGGAGACCCAACAUGGCCAAAAGGCACAUGGGUCCGAGCCCUGGUCCGGGACGAUCCCACAUGCCGCAGAGCAACAAGCCGGUGCGCCACAACUACUGAGCCUGCACUCUAGAGCCUGUGAGCCACAACUACUGAAGCCCGUGCACCUACAGCCCGUGCUCCACAACAAGAGAGGCCACCACAAUGAGAAGCCCACACACCGCAACGAAGAGUAGACCUCACUUGCCACAAAUAAAGACCUCACGCAGCAACAGAGACCCAACACAGCCAAAAAUAAAAAUAAAUUAAUUUUUUAAAAAAAGACAAUAAGAACCAACUUUCUUCUUUUGAAAAUUAAGCAUAAUUACUUCACUUAGAGGAUUAUUUCACAAUUCAGUCGAUUCACUUCCAGGAAGAUCGUCUUGGUGUUAAGCCUAGUUUGGUUUUCUUUUUCUUCUUUACAUUAGACUUACUUACAGUAGCUCUCUUUUACUAUGUGAGGCACCCUACAGGGAAUGGGGAUGCUUUGCCAAUUAAACACUAUUUGAAAAUUCAACAUGGAAAUAAAGGCCUUUAUACUGGAAA